rfam:Roseivivax halodurans JCM 10272 contig89, whole genome shotgun sequence.
AUAUAAGUGUCCAGUCAUGUGACGGCGUACCUUUUGUAUAAUGGGUCAUCGACUUGGUCUAUCUAGCAAGCUUAAGCCGCUAGGCGUAGGCGCAGCGAAAGCGAGUCUUAAUAGGGCGCAUGAGUUAGGUGGAUCAGACCCGAAACCGAGUGAUCUAGGCAUGACCAGGAUGAAGGUUAGGUAACACUAACUGGAGGUCCGAACCCACACCUGUUGAAAAAGGUCGGGAUGAGUUGUGCCUAGGGGUGAAAGGCCAAUCAAACUCGGAGAUAGCUGGUUCUCCGCGAAAUCUAUUUAGGUAGAGCGUCAUCCGAAUACCCCGGGGGGUAGAGCACUGGAUGGGUAAUGGGGCCCCACAGGCUUACUGAUCCUAACCAAACUCCGAAUACCCGGGAGUACUAGAUGGCAGACACACCGUGGAUGCUAACGUCCAUGGUGGAGAGGGAAACAACCCUGACCUCCAGCUAAGGCCCCCAAUUCAUGGCUAAGUGGGAAAGCAGGUGGGACGACCAAAACAACCAGGAGGUUGGCUUAGAAGCAGCCAUCCUUUAAAGAUAGCGUAACAGCUCACUGGUCUAAACAAGUUGUCCUGCGGCGAAGAUGUAACGGGGCUCAAGCCAUGAGCCGAAGCUGAGGACGCGAGAGCGUGGUAGCGGAGCGUGGUGUGACAUAGUCUCAUGUCUCCUUCAUGCCUACGGGCAUAUUGGAGACGCGAGGCUUGCAGAGAAGCCGGACCGUAAGGUUGACCGGUGGAGCGAUCACCAGCGAGAAUGAUGACAUGAGUAGCGACAAGGAGUGUGAGAGACACUCCCGCCGAAAGUCCAAGGGUUCCUGCUUAAAGCUAAUCUGAGCAGGGUAAGCCGGCCCCUAAGGCGAGGCCGAAAGGCGUAGUCGAUGGGAACCAGGUCAAUAUUCCUGGGCCAGGAGAUGGUGACGGAUUGUCCGAGUCGUACGUCCCUUAUCGGAUUGGGGCGUAUAUGCGGCAGUCCCUGGAAACAGCCCUCCAUGAGACCGUACCCGAAACCGACACAGGUGGACUGGUAGAGCAUACCGAGGCGCUUGAGAGAACGACGUUGAAGGAACUCGGCAAAAUACCUCCGUAAGUUCGCGAGAAGGAGGCCCGGGCUAUGAUGUCCGGGGGCACAAACCAGGGGGUGGCGACUGUUUACUAAAAACACAGGGCUCUGCGAAGCCGCAAGGCGACGUAUAGGGUCUGACGCCUGCCCGGUGCCUGAAGGUUAAAAGGAGGGGUGCAAGCUCCGAAUUGAAGCCCAGGUAAACGGCGGCCGUAACUAUAACGGUCCUAAGGUAGCGAAAUUCCUUGUCGGGUAAGUUCCGACCUGCACGAAUGGCGUAACGACUUCCCCGCUGUCUCCAACGUCGACUCAGCGAAAUUGAAUUGCCUGUCAAGAUGCAGGCUGCCCGCGGUUAGACGGAAAGACCCCGUGCACCUUUACUACAGCUUCAGACUGGCACCAGGCCAGGCAUGUGCAGGAUAGGUGGUAGGCUUCGAAGCGGGAACGCCAGUUCCCGUGGAGCCAUCCUUGAGAUACCACCCUUGCCUCGCUUGGUGUCUAACCGCGAUCCGUCAUCCGGAUCCGGGACCCUCUGUGGCGGGUAGUUUGACUGGGGCGGUCGCCUCCUAAAUCGUAACGGAGGCGCGCGAAGGUUGGCUCAGAGCGGUCGGAAAUCGCUCGUUGAGUGCAAUGGCAGAAGCCAGCCUGACUGCGAGACUGACAAGUCGAGCAGAGUCGAAAGACGGCCAUAGUGAUCCGGUGGUCCCAAGUGGGAGGGCCAUCGCUCAACGGAUAAAAGGUACGCCGGGGAUAACAGGCUGAUACUGCCCAAGAGUCCAUAUCGACGGCAGUGUUUGGCACCUCGAUGUCGGCUCAUCUCAUCCUGGGGCUGGAGCAGGUCCCAAGGGUACGGCUGUUCGCCGUUUAAAGAGGUACGUGAGCUGGGUUUAGAACGUCGUGAGACAGUUCGGUCCCUAUCUGCCGUGGGUGUAGGAGACUUGAGAGGAGUUGACCCUAGUACGAGAGGACCGGGUUGAACGAUCCACUGGUGGACCUGUUGUUGCGCCAGCAGCAGUGCAGGGUAGCUAUGAUCGGACAGGAUAACCGCUGAAGGCAUCUAAGCGGGAAGCCCCCCUCAAAACAAGGUCUCCCCGAGGGCCGUGGUAGACGACCACGUCGAUAGGCCGGAGGUGUAAGCGUGGCAACACGCUCAGCUGACCGGUACUAAUGGCCCGAUAGGCUUGACCCG